rnacentral:rRNA from 1 species
GGGGGGGGCAAGCGUUGUUCGGAAUUACUGGGCGUAAAGGGCCCGUAGGCGGCCAACUAAGUCCGACGUGAAAUCCCCAGGCUUAACCUGGGAACUGCGUCGGAUACUGGAUGGCUUGAAUCCGGGAGAGGGAUGCGGAAUUCCAGGUGUAGCGGUGAAAUGCGUAGAUAUCUGGAGGAACACCGGUGGCGAAGGCGGCAUCCUGGACCGGCAUUGACGCUGAACGGCGAAAGCCAGGGGAGCAAACGGGAUUAGAUACCCCGGUAGUCCUGGCCCUAAACGAUGAAUGUUUGGUGUGGCGGGUAUCGAUCCCUGCCGUGCCGAAGCUAACGCAUUAAACAUUCCGCCUGGGGAGUACGGUCGCAAGGCUGAA